AUCCAGCUGACGAGUCUCAAAUAGAAAGAAAUGCGUGUCCUAGAU
rfam:Schistosoma mattheei strain Denwood, Zambia genome assembly, scaffold: SMTD_scaffold0003704